UAUCCGGAAUUAUUGGGCGUAAAGGGCUCGUAGGCGGUUCGUCGCGUCCGGUGUGAAAGUCCAUCGCUUAACGGUGGAUCCGCGCCGGGUACGGGCGGGCUUGAGUGCGGUAGGGGAGACUGGAAUUCCCGGUGUAACGGUGGAAUGUGUAGAUAUCGGGAAGAACACCAAUGGCGAAGGCAGGUCUCUGGGCCGUUACUGACGCUGAGGAGCGAAAGCGUGGGGAGCGAACAGGAUUAGAUACCCUGGUAGUCCACGCCGUAAACGGUGGAUGCUGGAUGUGGGGCCCGUUCCACGGGUUCCGUGUCGGAGCUAACGCGUUAAGCAUCCCGCCUGGGGAGUCCGGCCGCAAGCUAAACCUCAAAGAAAUUGACGGGGGCCCGCACAAGCCGCGGAC
rnacentral:rRNA from 1 species